rnacentral:rRNA from 1 species
GCAUAUCAAUAAGCGGAGGAAAAGAAACCAACAGGGAUUGCCCCAGUAACGGCGAGUGAAGCGGCAACAGCUCAAAUUUGAAAUCUGGCCCUCGGGCCCGAGUUGUAAUUUGGAGAGGAUGCUUCUGGCGCGGCGCCGUCCGAGUUCCUUGGAACAGGACGCCAUAGAGGGUGAGAGCCCCGUACGGGCGGCCGCCUAGCCUUUGCGAAGCUCCUUCGACGAGUCGAGUAGUUUGGGAAUGCUGCUCAAAAUGGGAGGUAAAUUUCUUCUAAAGCUAAAUACCGGCCAGAGACCGAUAGCGCACAAGUAGAGUGAUCGAAAGAUGAAAAGCACUUUGAAAAGAGGGUUAAAAAGUACGUGAAAUUGUUGAAAGGGAAGCGCCUGUGACCAGACUUGCNNNNNNCGAUCAUNNNNUGUUCCUCACCGGUGCGCUCCGCNNNCCGCNGGCCAGCAUCGGCUCUCCUGGGGGGACAAAGGUCGCGGGAACGUGGCUCCUUAGGGAGUGUUAUAGCCCGCUUCGUCAUGCCUCCGGGGGGGCCGAGGACCGCGCUUCGGCAAGGAUGCUGGCGUAAUGGUCACCGGCGACCCGUCUUGAAACACGGACCAAGGAGUCAAGCAUUGGGGCGAGUGUCUGGGUGCCAAACCCGCACGCGAAAUGAAAGUAAACGCAGGUGAGAGCUUCGGCGCAUCACCGACCGAUCCUGAUGUCUUCGGAUGGAUUUGAGUAAGAGCCUUACCGCUUGGACCCGAAAGAUGGUGAACUAUGCCUGUAUAGGGUGAAGCCAGAGGAAACUCUGGUGGAGGCUCGCAGCGGUUCUGACGUGCAAAUCGAUCGUCAAAUAUGGGCAUGGGGGCGAAAGACUAAUCGAACCAUCUAGUAGCUGGUUACCGCCGAAGUUUCCCUCAGGAU